rnacentral:rRNA from 1 species
AAGGGCAAUUCGUGGAUGCCUUGGCAUGUACAGGCGAUGAAGGACGUGGCACGCUGCGAUAAGCGUCGGUGAGGUGUGAGCAACCUUUGACCCGACGAUUUCCGAAUGGGGAAACCCACCUAUCCGAUUAAUCCUGAGUGUCG